rnacentral:rRNA from 1 species
AUUGAACGCUGGCGGCAUGCCUUACACAUGCAAGUCGAACGGCAGCGCGGGAGCUUGCUCCUGGCGGCGAGUGGCGCACGGGUGAGUAAUGCAUCGGAACGUGUCUUCUUGUGGGGGAUAACUGUCCGAAAGGACAGCUAAUACCGCAUAAGACCUGAGGGUGAAAGCAGGGGAUCGCAAGACCUUGCGCAGGAAGAGCGGCCGAUGUCCGAUUAGCUAGUUGGCGGGGUAAAGGCCCACCAAGGCGACGAUCGGUAGCUGGUCUGAGAGGACGACCAGCCACACUGGGACUGAGACACGGCCCAGACUCCUACGGGAGGCAGCAGUGGGGGAAUUUUGGACAAUGGGGGCGAACCCUGAUCCAGCCAUGCCGCGUGCAGGAUGAAGGUCUUCGGAUUGUAAACUGCUUUUGUCAGGGACGAAAAGGGAUGCGAUAACACCGCGUUCUGCUGACGGUACCUGAAGAAUAAGCACCGGCU